AGACUAUCGAAAGAUUCAAUUUAUAUGCAACUGAUAAAUCAUUCCACAUUUUUGGCCAUUAAUAUUACAUGAUUUUUUUUAUUACUUUCUAGACGAUAAUGAUUAAUUUAUGAAAUUCGAUUACAUUGCUAUUCUUACAUCUUUAAUACUAUUAAGAUUUCCUUUUAUAACAUCUAAUACAUGUUCUACAAUUCGUUAAACGUUAAUAUUCUGUACGACAAGGCUAUAUAAAUGGUUUCUGUAGAUUUAGUCGAAGGAAUUAAUGGGUAGAUGAGAACUUGUAACUAAGAUAGCAGUUAAUGGAAGGAUUUCUAAUCCUGCCUGCAGUCGCCUCUCCCUUUCCCUCUUCACAACCACGAACAAUCCCACCGGCGCCUCUACUCUCGACGGCGCCCCGGGUCGUAAUUAGUUUGUGGCUUCACCGGAGUCCGUCAUCCCCCUACUUUAGCUCGGGUGGAAGAGGGACGACGUUGGCUGGCUUGUUCGCUGGCUGGCUGGUUGCCCGCCUGGCCAAUCUACGACGGCAGCUGGGAAAGAAACGGACGAGCGGAACGACCGCGACAACGAAGAUGACGACGAGGUUAUGCACGUUCGACGUCGCGAAGAAACGGUGAGCGCUAAGAACGAGAAGAGCCUCGAGACGAACCUGCGAGAGGGUACUGUCGUUGGAAAAUUAAUAAAUGGAGGGAGAAAGAGGGAGAAGGGAAGGAGGCUCGAGUAGCUCUCGUGAAACGGUAGGGUUGUAAAUAUUAGGUAGUUCUGAGAGCUACGGAAUUCAGCGGAGAUUUUGGCGGGAUUUAUUGUAUGCAAUUAACCCUUUGAUGUUUAAACGUUCGGAAAGAAAUGUAUGUUCGGUUUAUUGCAUCCCGCAUCCAAUGAAAGGACGUUUUGUAGAAAUGUGGUUCCUUUUCAUUAAGAGGAACAAAAGGAAGUGCACUAGGACAAUGAUUCGUUUGUUGUGCUAGAUGCGUAGUUGAAAUCAGAAGUAGUAAAGGAAUAAGAUAUACAGACUGUGAUGUGACUCUGUGUGUGACAGAAAUGACCGAAGAGUUGAAGCUUACAUAGAGAUUUUUUUUACUCUUUAAGUACUAUAACGAGUAUUUCGCAGUUUAAUUGCGAAGAUCUUAGCAUCAAAGUUAGAUACGUACUUUAGAUAUAUGUAUGUAUAUAUGUACCUAAAAGCAUAAUAAUUUAACGCGUUAUAAAUAUAUGAAUAUAUGAAAAUAUCCUGGAUUUAUAUUUUCUCGUUAUAUCUCAAAUGUAUAGCAAAAUCUUUAUAAAAUGGGCAAUUAUCGGAACAAAUGAAAAGUGCAUUUAAUUAUUUAUUCAUUCGAUGUUCUCGCGGAUAUUUUCGCGUUUGCGAGAGCUUCCCGCAAGUUUCGCGAAAGCAGUCGAAUUGACCCGUGCGUGUAAUUAUAUUUAAGUUUAUCGAUACAUUCGCCCGUUUCCAUCUGGAUCGUGUUAUCAGAGUUAACCAAUAGUUUCUCAAAAGCGUACUUUAAACCAACGAUAAAAGCAACUAAUUAAAACACAAAAGACCGAGUAACCAGCGGAAUAUCUAAACGAUGCGGCACGCUCGAUUUCCUCCUCCCAGCAAACCAGAUUCGCCAGUC
rnacentral:misc_RNA from 1 species